AUAAAUGAUAUAUAUGAAUAGCUUCAAAAUUUACACCAUGAAUUACUGGUUGCAUCGGCAAAACACACACAAAAGGUAACAAAAUCACGGAGACAUUCUUAAUUUCAGGUAUUCGAAAACGAAUCACAUAGUGUUUUUCUAGGAUUUAGGCUAAAAAUGGUUAUUUUGAAGGAAAAUAAAUGAAUCUAUUAUAGAUUAUC
rnacentral:lncRNA from 1 species